GAUGAACGCUGGCGGCGUGCCUAAUACAUGCAAGUCGAGCGAACGGACGAGAAGCUUGCUUCUCUGAUGUUAGCGGCGGACGGGUGAGUAACACGUGGAUAACCUACCUAUAAGACUGGGAUAACUUCGGGAAACCGGAGCUAAUACCGGAUAAUAUUUUGAACCGCAUGGUUCAAAAGUGAAAGACGGUCUUGCUGUCACUUAUAGAUGGAUCCGCGCUGCAUUAGCUAGUUGGUAAGGUAACGGCUUACCAAGGCAACGAUGCAUAGCCGACCUGAGAGGGUGCUCGGCCACACUGGAACUGAGCCACGGUCCAGACUCCUACGGGAGGCAGCAGUAGGGAAUCUUCCGCAAUGGGCGAAAGCCUGACGGAGCAACGCCGCGUGAGUGAUGAAGGUCUUCGGAUCGUAAAACUCUGUUAUUAGGGAGGAACAUAUGUGUAAGUAACUGUGCACAUCUUGACGGUACCUAAUCAGAAAGCCACGGCUAACUACGUG
rnacentral:rRNA from 1 species